CAGGAGCCUCAAGUUUCUUGCUAAACUUAAGAGGCAAGCGAGAAUCAAUAUCAAUGAGCAUCUGUCCCUCUGACAGCUCGAUUGUAUCAAUAUGGCCUAGUCUUUCACCUAUCUUCCUCAGGUUUUUAAGUAUCCAAUAAUGAAGAGGAAUACCAGACAGCUGAACCCAGAAAGGGAUGAUCCAGGGGUAAUCAUCGUAUACUAUGGGCUCCCAUCGAACCAGCACAAACAUACAGUAAUUGUAGUGGAAUGGUCCCUUACUCAAAACCGAUUUUAAAUCCUCUUCGGAGGUGAAGUUGAACAGGAAUCUGCCAUUGCCUACGUCAUUUGCUGUGAUGAGAUCCUGCAUACCCCAUUGUGUGGGCAUCGUUUGAAUCAGCUUCUCAACAUUUUGUUUCUUGGGAUUAAGUAUUUUGCCGAUGAGAGACAUAAGGAAUUUUUUAAUGACAUGAUCAUCUUCCUCUGCGGUUAACUGAAUUGGCUCGUCAUCAUCAUACUGAAUUCCUUUUCCUUUUAAAUCAGCCAUAUGGGCCGAUCCAUGCUGAGACAAUUGCCUCAUUACCAGAGAUUGGUUAUUCACUCUGUUUCUAGUAUGGAGAACAGAGCAAAAGCGAGAGAUCGUGUCAACAACGGUCGACAAUCAUCAGAGAAAACGUUAAGUAACCACCAAACACAGAUCGUGUCAACGUUUGAGGCCAUCUUGAUUGGGGAGUAAUUGAGUUUCCAAUGAAAAUCUCAAUACCGCAGAUCGGCUUCGAUGUCGUGAGAGAUACACCAGAGAAGAACGAAAGAGAUAAUGAUCACCGGAGCACCAGCAAUGAGGAUGUCGUAUAGCCAGGUAAUCCACACGCCAAUGAACGUGUCGAUCAGAAAAAGAUCAAACCUUCAACGAAAGAUUUUGAUAUGUAGAAUCGUCAUUUGAGUCACCAUGGAAGCCCUAGCCGCUCAAUAUCAAUGCAUUUCCAAUUAUAAUUUUGUUUUCUUUUUAUUGUUGAUAAAUUUUUAUAGUAUACCAUUAAAAAUUCCCUUGAGUUCAAAUAUAAAUUUUUAUCAUUAUAUAUGGUUAAAUGAAUAUAGGAGCGUCUGAACCUUAGACACAUUCAGCCUAUAUUCUUUGUUCAUUUCAAAAUUUAAAUUUAAGUAUAUGCACUAUAUUUUAAGAGCAUAUAUAUUAAUCUUUAGUUGUCUAACUCUCAUUAGCUGGGUGUUUAAACGCUGAUGCUUGUAUAAACCUGUUUUCUGGCAGAUUAUAUAAAAUCGCAACAGUCAUAUGAUAGGAGGCUUCUUAACAAUUAUGUGUGUGCCAGCCAAAAAAAACUCAUGCGUGUCUACCGACGUUCGAGCUUGUCAAAGUGAGAAGACAUUUAUUUAGUCAUUGUAUUUUGUGAUAGGUAGAGCAUAUGAAUUUAUAAAAUAUCUUGCAGUUAUUCGGAAGAGCUAGCAGAAUGGAUUUAAUCAACACUUCCUUUCCUCCUUUUGAGAGCCAUCUACCUGUCCAGCCAUUCACUCUAUGCAUCAACUUAUCCUUUAGAAAUGCAAAAGGUUUACAAUUGGAGCCACUUAUGUCUUCCGGGAUACCUAGGUAAGUUCCCAUUCCUCCUUCGUUUUGUAUUCCCAGUGCAUCUUUGAUCUCUUGUCUAAUAGUUGCAUUAAUUCUCUUACCAAAGAGUAAGGAUGAUUUGUCAAAGUUGAUACAUUGGCCAGAUGCUUUACCAUACUUCCUGACUACUUUCAUUACUUCUUCACAUUCACGGGGAUCCGCCUUACAGAAGAAAAGGCUAUCAUCAGCAAAUAGAAGGUGGGAUACCGAAGGACACGCGCGUGUGACGCGCAUCCUCGUUAUCUUCCCUUGGCUCUCUACAUGAUUGAGAAGGCUAGCGAGCGCUUACGUGCAUAGAAUAAAAAUGAAAGGAGACAAAGGAUCUCAUUGGCGUAGGCCUCUACCAGGAACAAUAUUUCCUCUUGGCUGUCCAUUCAUGAGUACCUUAUAUUUCACCGACGUAAUGCAUCGCAUUGUCCAGGUGAUCCAUGUUUCCGAAAAACCCAUCUUACGCAAGACAGCUUCAAUAAAUGACCAUUCCAUCCUGUCAUAUGCUUUGCUCAUGUCUGUCUUAAUGGCCAUCCUUUUAUUGCUUCAACUUGGUUUAAUUCUCAGAGCUUGGAACAUUUCUUGAGCAAUCAUAAUAUUGUCUGAAAUCUGUCUUCCAGCAACAAAAGCUGACUGGGUCUCCGAUAUCAAGCGUGGUAGCACUUUCUUCAAUAUUUGGCAUAAGACCUUAGAGAUUAUCUUGCAGCUUAAGUUACACAAGCUAAUGGGUAUAAAUUGAGUCAUUUCAUUAGGCUUUGUUGUCUUUGGGAUGAGACAUAUAUUCGUAUUAUUCAGUCCAUUCGCCACCGUUCCCUCAAAAAGGAAUUUACUAACCAUAAGAGUUAAAUCCUCCUUUACAAUAUCCCAAAAUUUCUGAUAGAAAAGUGCAGGCCUUUUCUGGAUGCAUAGCAAAAAGCGCUAAUUUGACCUCCCAUUCAGUGACUGGAGCUGUAAGGUUGUCAUUCAUUGCCCAAUUGAUCGUCGUAAGGACUUGAGCCAGUGCCUCUUCAAUGUCCUCUGGGUUAGAUGAUUCAAAGAUCUGCCUAAAAUUGCUAGUAGCAAUGACUACUAAUCCAUCUUCAUCCUCAACUAUAUUUCCAUUUGCACCAGGAGCUGCGUGAUUUUAUUCCUUGCUCUUCUUUGCUUUGUUAAGGCAUGAAAUUUUUUUGUAUUUCUGUCUCCUUCUCUCAGCCAAAACACUCUACUCUGCUGUUUCCAGAACAUUUCUUUUGCUUUAAGAGCAUCAGAGAGAUCCUUCAACGCUGCUGCAAUUUUCUCAGUUGUAGCAUUAUCCUCUGCGUACAGACCCUCCACUUUUUCUUUAAGCUCCUCCACUAAUUUCGCCGAGUUAACAUUAUGUUGUUUCCUCCAUUCGCUCAAAGAUUUUCAGCAGCUAGAAAUAUGUUCCAUAAUAGUUGCAUUGGGAUGGAGAUCAAUAGAUUUCCAUCCCCCAAGAAUGACUUGCCGUAGCUCCUAAUUAUCCAGGCAUCUUUUAUCAAACUUGAACUUUUUUUAUCGCCUCACUGGCUUUAUGCAAGAAUCGGACGAUAAUCUGAUCCCCAUAACCUCAUAUACUUCACAGUCGAGUGGGGAAACUUCUCAUGCCAAUCCGCAUUUCCUACUGCUCUGUCUAAGCGACAUCGAACAGUUGUUCUUCCUGCUCUCUUUCCUACCCAUGAGAGCAUGUUUCACGUGAAAGGAAACUCUAGCAUCCCACAAUCAUUAAGCAUCUGCUUAAAGGGCAGGAAUGAACUAUCAGGACGUUGUCUCCCCCCUUCUUUCUCAUUGUGACACGUAAUUUCAUUAAAAUCUCUUAUCAGGAACCAAGGUCCAGUUCUUGUUGUUGAGAAACGCGUAAGACGUUCCCAAACUUGAUCUCGUCUUUCUAGUACAGGAUCCCCAUAAACAAACGUCAUAUAGACUUUUAUUCCAUCAAUGACUGCCUCAAUGUCAAUCAUACGGUUAUUUGAAAAUAAAACAUUAACUUGAAAUUCAUCCAUAAAAAAUAAAGUUAAACCUCCGCUGAGUCCAAGUAGCUCAACAGUAAAAAAAUGAUCAAAUUAUAAGUCGGCCUGAAUGUUUUGCAACAACAGCCUUCUGUUCUUCGUCUCAGAAAGGAACACAAGUCCUGGGUGAUGCUUCUGACACAUCUCCGUAAGGCGUCGAACUGUGAGGUCGUUACCUAUCCCUCGACAGUUCCAACUGAUUGUCUUCAUGGAUGAUGUUUCGAUGGGUAUUUAGGACCCAUCAAACCAACACCUUUUGACGAACCAUCUCCCUUAGUUGAAAUUUCUCUCGAUUUCCUUGAUGACUCAUGAUGACUAGGCCAGCUAUGUCUGUUACUGCGAGCAGACGGAGAACCUCGACAGAGGAACCAAAUUUUCUUGCUUUGAAUGCUUAAAGGGACACACAUUUUGGUAUCAUUCUUCUUACUCUUAGACCUUCCGUAAGAAGUGUCACCAGGAUGACGUGAUGAUUCAAAAAUGUUAGAGGAAACAUGCCCAGCUUCUAUCUCCAUAAAUCAAUGCCCAACAAAUCAUCAUUCUGAACCUCACCUUCCAUCAUCUCAUCAUCAUGUUUAUCAGCUAUCUACAUAUCAGACAAAGCUCCAAUGACAAGUGCAUCCUCAUUUAAAUAUGACGUUUUGGGUGAUAGUGAAAGUGAUUGAGCUAUCUCUUUAGCUCGAAAGGUAACGUUCGCAGUCAACGCCACCGUGCGCGACGGAGUAACGAUCGUUCUAGCUAGCCUCUUUUCUUGUCGCUCUACAACCAGGUCAUCAUUUCCUUUUGAUUCCUGGUGUCCACCAAUCUCGCGAGGACCUUCUGUUGAUAACUUCCCACUCUGAGUAAUGCCACUGCUGUUUAAAGCAUUGGUCAGAUUAUCAUUCUCCAUCUUCCUUGGCUUUUCAGUCCUCUGCCUUUUGCGCCAAGUAAGCUCUUGCUUGCGGACGUAAGGUCUUGUUCGAUACUUAGAGUUACUGUAUUGAUUGUUACCUGGUCUCCUAUCUCGUGUUCGGAUAACUCUAUCAGAGUGAUAAUUGGCCUUUUCGCCAGCUAGAGAAUGAUAGGCCCCAUCUCCAGAUCGUGAGUGAUAAGUCUCAAUUUCUUUGUGAUACUUCUUUGCACCAUCCCGCGAGUUGUAUCUCUUGUGGUUAUCAUCAUAACGAGAUCUCAUCGCAUAUGACGAUUGAGAAUGAGAUACAAAGUUCGUUUGACCCCUCAGCAGUGGCUGGGUGUUUGUCUGCUCUUGAGGUAGCUGUACCCGAUCAAAAAUACCAGCUCUUUCAGUAUGGUGUCGAGUAGUAGGAUCAUUAGCCGUCGAAGGACAGUAACCUUUUUUCGUGAGUAAGAUAUCCACAUGUCGUACAGUGCUUAAAAAGCAUGUCAUACUUGAUCUGAAUUGUUACAUCACCUUCAGGAGCCUCAAGUUUCUUGCUAAACUUAAGAGGCAAGCGAGAAUCAAUAUCAAUGAGCAUCUGUCCCUCUGACAGCUCGAUUGUAUCAAUAUGGCCUAGUCUUUCACCUAUCUUCCUCAGGUUUUUAAGUAUCCAAUAAUGAAGAGGAAUACCAGACAGCUGAACCCAGAAAGGGAUGAUCCAGGGGUAAUCAUCGUAUACUAUGGGCUCCCAUCGAACCAGCACAAACAUACAGUAAUUGUAGUGGAAUGGUCCCUUAC
rnacentral:lncRNA from 1 species